CAGGACUAUAUCACCACCCUGAAAACCCAGAUCAACAAGACCCUUUUAUACUGAACGUGGACACAGUUGUUCAAAUCAAUGACAUAUUUAAAAACGCCUUCAGGACUUUUGAAUAAGCACAAAAGAACUUGCGACUGCUGAUGCCUCAGAAAUCCAGUCCCUUAGCCAAUGUUAAAGCUAUUUUUGUUGGAAUAUUGGUCUAUCUAGAAAAUAUACUGAAUCUCUCAUUGGCCGGAUUAUCUCCAACACGUCCAGAUGGCCCGGCACAGAACUUGAUGCCUGCUUUUUUACAAGCUGCAGAAGCUGCGUCAUCGCCGAGUUCACGGACAUUUUCAAAACCAUUCUUGAUUUGACACGAUCGGCGAGUCCGUCGAGCUGGUGACGAAUAAAUCAGCCAGGAUCUUUCUAUGCAUCGGCGAGAUCUCUGGAAACACCAGGGAAUCUUGCUGCGGGACGCAUUAUUUAUAUUUGUUGCCGUCAUUGAUGCUAACACCGCUGCCCUGAAUACUGAGUGCCCUGCGCGGAAUGUGAUCACCUUUGAUGAGCCAACCACGGUAGCACCACCAAAACUGAUGACAAUAACCAUGCCUCUAAUUACCAAAAUCGAGUAGAAAAAAUUGGAGCAAUAAUAAAACAUCGUUUGCUUCCUAAUUUCUUAUGCUUUUUGUAGAGUGAAAAAUAAAUAUUUUGUCACAUCAAAUUAUUAAAUUAACGAUCCCAUUCUAGUCUUCCCAAACAUGAAAAAAA